rnacentral:tRNA from 2 species
GGGGAUGUAGCUCAGCUGGGAGAGUACUUGGAUGGCAUUCAAGGGGUCGUGGGUUCGAGCCCCAUCAUCUCCACCA